ACAAGCGGUGGAGUAUGUGGUUUAAUUCGACGCAACGCGCAGAACCUUACCUAGGCUUGACAUCCCGGGAAUUUGCUGGAAACAGUGAAGUGCUUUCAUUAGAAAGAGCCCGGUGACAGGUGCUGCAUGGCUGUCGUCAGCUCGUGUCGUGAGAUGUUGGGUUAAGUCCCGCAACGAGCGCAACCCUCGCCUUUAGUUGCCAGCAUUCAGUUGGGCACUCUAAAGGGACUGCCGGUGUCAAACCGGAGGAAGUGGGAUGACGUCAAGUCCUCAUGGCCUUUAUGUCUAGGGCUACACACGUACUACAAUGGCAGGUACAAAGGGCAGCGACACAGCGAGGUGGAGCAAAUCGCAGAAAAUCAUCCGUAGUUCGGAUUGGAGUCUGAAACCCGACUCCAUGAAGGUGGAAUCGCUAGUAAUCGCGCAUCAGCAUGGCGCGGUGAAUACGUUCCCGGGCCUU
rnacentral:rRNA from 1 species